UCUCCGUUGGUGAACCAGCGGAGGGAUCAUUACAGAGUUGCAAAACUCCCAAACCAUUGUGAACGUUACCUAUCCCGUUGCUUCGGCGGGCGGCCCGGGCCCCGCGCCCGGCGCCCCCCGGCCCCCCGUGGGCGCCCGCCGGAGGUAAACCAAACCCUUGAAUUGCAUGGCCUCUCUGAGUCUUCCGUACUGAAUAAGUCAAAACUUUCAACAACGGAUCUCUUGGUUCUG
rnacentral:misc_RNA from 1 species